rnacentral:snRNA from 1 species
UUUGCUUCUUGGCUUGGCUAAAAUCAAGUAUCUGUUCUUAUCAGUUUAAUAUCUGAUACUUCCCUUAUCUGGGCACUGUGUAUUAAAUGGAGUGUUGGAACUGAAACCUUGAUUUAAGUCAUUGAUGUUAAUCAUG